GCAAAAUUGAGUGGACAGUACUAAGAGUUCCCAUACGCCCUCUGUCCCCAUACUAUCCCACAGCCACAUACUAUCCUAAUUUUAAUAAUAUAUUUUAUUUAACCCAAUAUAUAAAAUUAUUAUUAUUUCAACAUUAAUCAAUAUAAAAAUCAUUAAUGAGGUAUUUUACCUUUUUUUCCGCUGUAUACUGCUUUAGUUUUUACAGUUUAAAAUGUGGCCCUAGCCAUGUUUCAAGUGCUCAACAGCCACAUGUGGCUAGUGGCCACCUAUUAGUGCAGAAGAGAAUCAGAUGUUCCAAGGAACAUAGUUUAGGAAAUGCUGGUCUAGCCACACCUGCCCAUCACACAGAUGAAGCUGUGGAGCGAGGAACGUUGGAAGUGACUCUCCUGACAUAGAGACCCAAGUAGCGUCAGAGGUGAGAUCAACACACAAGAGUAGUUCUUGCCACUACACUGUGACUCAAACAUAAAUCUUCUCCUUUGUAGGAGGGAGAAUUCCACCUUCCUUCCUGUGCCCUGCAGGAGAACUCUCUUCUGUUCCUUUGACUUGAAUUAGAAUGGGGCUUAGCCUAGGGCCAGGAGUCCUGAGCCUGCAGUGACUAUCCCCAGCCUUUCAUUCUGCUAUAGUUCUCGAAUCUCUGUGCUGUCUUAAGAUUUGCACAGUAUCCAUUCUUAGUCAGCUUAGGUGUAUCUUUCAGGCCAUAGUGUACUGGGGUCCCUAACCGCAGGGUCAUUGGUCACUGGGGUUCUGGAAUGCAGAGGACAAGAGGAGUCUUCUGUUCAUCACCCAUUCAACAAAUACUCAUUGACCACCCAACAACGUGAUGUGUUCCAGGCCCUGGGGACAUAUCAAUGAACAAGCCAAGUCCUUGACCUCUGGAAUUUAGAUUCCAGUGGUGGGAGACAGACAAAACACAAAUAUGUAAAUAGAUGGCACAUCAGGUAGGAAUAAGCUUUACUGAGAGAAGAGAAAAUAAGGGUAAACAGGAGUAAGGAAUGGAGCAAACAUCCGAGAAAACUGCUUAUAAUAUUUUGGUCAAUAAGAUAGGAAAAUAUUGAGGAAGAGAUACAGAUGUUGAAGAAAGACAAGAUGCUGGAGGAAGACAAGACUGGUUGACAGGAAACAUACAACGAAAAAAUAUUCUUUAGGAUAAGAAUAAGCUAAAGAGAAAGGAAUGCUCUUUUCAUUUAACGGCCACAGCAUGAGUCCUCAUUCAGAGAAAGACAAGAACUGGAGCAGAGCACAGCAUGGAAGAAAAGCAGGACGAGGGUCUGCAAUUCAUCUCUUACGUCUGACGUGUUGUGGUGGAAAGAACAACAGUGAUGUAGUGAUUUUACACCUAUUCCGAUUCUUAUAUUUUAGAUCUUGAACACUUGUAUAAAUUUUAAGCAAAGCCAAAAAAUAUGCAAAAGGAAAAGAGCACAUCUUUAUAUUUUUGGAGAAAUAAUAGAGGUGCCAAAACAUAUGCUCUCAAUUAGAUUUUAAUAAAUCCAAUUACACUUUAAUCAAAUCCAUUUGUGUUUUAAAGACCUGAAAUCUGUAAAACCAUUGAAUAGGGUAUCCUACUAUUUAUAACGUAAUGAUUUAUACUUUUAAUUGACUUCAGAACAUGGGGUUAUUUUAUUUGGUCUCUGAAGAGUUUCUCCACCCUGGGUCCAGAAGAAAAGCACAACUAGAAACCACAGCUGAUUACAUAACAGAAAAUUCCAGCGAGGUACAAAUCUGAUCCUCACUUUUAGUCUGGUUUUCUUUGUUUAUUUGUUUUUAAAUGAAAGCACAUAUAAUUUUUGAAUUAUGAUUAGCUUUUUUGUUUUUCCCUUUUGGAAAGCUAUCAGUAACAGUUUUUUCAGGACCGAAGCAUAAAGGAAUGUGGGGAAAGGAUUGACCUUUUUCUCAUUGUCUGGAACCUUCAAGAAUGCAAAACUGAGAUAUUAUAGUCUCAGUUAAGCUAUUCAUUGUUACCAGUUGGUAAAAUGUAAUACCGUUUAUGUUGAAUUUCUGCAACCAUGGAAAGUACUGACAAGAAUUGCUUUUACAUAAAAAAAAAUAAAGUCUAGAUCAGAAAUGAAACAUAGAUUAGAAGAACACUAUACAUCAUUCUUCCAGACCUGCUCUGUCCAAUACUGUGGCCACUCACCAUAGGUGGCUAUUGAGUGCUUGAAAUGCAGCGUCAGGUAAGAAAAACAUCCUCUAACCUCUUAGGUUCAGUACCUG
ensembl:lncRNA